ensembl:lncRNA
GCUCCUUUCUCCCCCUCCUCCAUUUUGUUCGCGGACGCUGGGGACGGUGGGAGCAGAUCCAUUUCCGGGUUGGCAAAAGGGGCGGCGGCGGCGAGAAGGGGAGCUUGCCGCGGGGCAAGCAGGACUGGACGGAGCCAGAGCCGAGGUGGCGGAGGAGUAGCUCUUGGAGCCGCUGCGGCCAGAUCUUGAGUGAAUGCUAUGUGUUGGUGGGAUUUAAACCACAACCCAGUGACGGGAUUCUAGGAAAAGUAGUUCCCAGACCUCCAGCCUCCCUCCUCUCCUGUGAGUCCAGAGGGGAGUAGAGGAGACACGGGUGGACUCCCGGGUCCAGGAAGAUCCCACGCGCCUUUGGAGCAACUAAACCCAGGCGCCACAACUACUGAGCCUGUGCGCUAGAGCUGCAAGCCGCAAACUACUGGAACCUGCGUGUCCUGGCACCUGUGCUUGGCCAUAAGAGGAGCCACGUCUGUGAGAAGCCUGAGCGCUGCAACUAGAGAAAGCCCACCUGAAACAACGAAGACGCAGAGCAAAGCC